CCUACGGGAGGCAGCAGUAGGGAAUCUUCCGCAUUGGACGAAAGUCUGACGGAGCAACGCCGCGUGAGUGAUGAAGGUUUUCGGAUCGUAAAACUCUGUUGUUAGGGAAGAACAAGUGCGAGAGUAACUGCUCGCACCUUGACGGUACCUAACCAGAAAGCCACGGCUAACUACGUGCCAGCAGCCGCGGUAAU
rnacentral:rRNA from 1 species